GAACAAACAUCGUCUUCUACUACAGAGCCUCCAGAGUGUCCCCAAGCGUUUUCCACAUGGGCAAUAGGUUUGAUAUGCUGUGCUGCCUUAGCCAUCAUCGCCUUCAUUGUCAUUGUCAUUGCCAUCAAGUAUAAACAUGAUAAAACAAGAAAUAGAAGACACGAUGAAAACCAGGAUGAAAACGGAAGGCCACCGCCGCUCGAGACUCAAAAUUCGACCUACGGUCUGAUCGGGAAGGAUGAAACAGAUACAGGUGGUAACACGUAUUCAGUGGGGAAGGAAGCAUUUUCUAGUAAAGAUGAGACCAAUAAUGGAAUUGAAAACAAAGAACUUUCGGAGGAUGAUCCUAAAAAGAAAGAGAAACCAGCACCAGUUGUUCAGAUGACCGAACUCUGAAAUCUAUAGUAGCAUUGCUGUUGCUCUUGGUUGGUUGGUUUGUUUGAUUGCAUACGAACGAUGUAUGGACAUUAAUAAUCAGCAUUAUUUCGUUGUAUUUUGUUUGUUGACACCAAGAACGUGUGCAUGAAAAUACAGAUAGAGGGUGAGAGAUAAAGAGAGCAAGAUAUAGAAAGAUAGAUACGGUGAGAGAUAGAUAGAGAGAGAGAGAGAGAGGGGGGGGGGACAUUU